UGGCAUAUAGAUGUUAGGCAGCAAGGCAGCUGUUGAAAAAAAAGAAUUCGAAGAAGCAGAUUCCGUGGAUGGAAGAACCAAGGUCAAACAUAGAAAUCACAAGGAUGGCUAGCACAGGAAUUGAAAAAAAUCAUAUCGGUGAGGUACAGAGCAACAUAAGAAAGAAUGGAAUGAGAAA